GCGUAAGCGCGCGCAGGUGGUUUCUUAAGUCUGAUGUGAAAGCCCACGGCUCAACCGUGGAGGGUCAUUGGAAACUGGGAGACUUGAGUGCAGAAGAGGAAAGUGGAAUUCCAUGUGUAGCGGUGAAAUGCGUAGAGAUAUGGAGGAACACCAGUGGCGAAGGCGACUUUCUGGUCUGUAACUGACACUGAGGCGCGAAAGCGCGGGGAGCAAACAGGAUUAGAUACCCUGGUAGUC
rnacentral:rRNA from 1 species